CAAGGAAAACAAAACGAAGUUCAACCUCAUCUUUCACGAAACCAGACAUGACUUAAAGUAAUAAAAGGGUUUAAGGAGUGUUUUUCCUUGAACUUGCUGGGUUCAUUCCUCGAAAUACCUUUCUCAUUUUUCUGUAAUACGGAAACUAUUAUAUACAGGUUCAUGUUAUUUGCUAUUUCUCUCUUAGUUUUUAUGUCUCUCAGACCACAAAUAUUCUCAGAGUUUAGUAAAUUAAAUCUUCAAAAAAAUUUCUGACAUCUCUUCUUUUUCUUCUUCAGAGGAAAUUAUGAAUCGCGACAAAAGUAUAGACAAGCCAAUGAAACCACGAAGGCGUGAAAGUCAAAGAUCAAGACGCAGUGACAGUGGUGGUAAUUCUGGUGACCAUCAAAACCCAGUGCUAGGUCUGUGCCGAUUUGUUUUUGGGGUUAUCUUUUUGUCUUUGGUUUUGUUUGUUUUCUUUUAUUUCAUUUUAGGUAUAUGAAAAAUGAGAACUAUUGGUUUGAAAAAGAGUGGGACACAGAAGAAUAAACAACGUUUAUGCAGUAAAAUCACGGGACUCAGGUGGAUCAAAUUCCAUACACUUUCAAAUUUGAGAGGAAAAGAAGGACUCAAUUAGGGCACAGUGCUGCCAAUGAUGGUGUAAGGACCUUGAUCCACUGUAACUAUUACAAGUAGUACAAUAAUUUACUGGUAUAUUAAGUUUGUAUUUUGUUUACAGUCAAGGU
rnacentral:lncRNA from 1 species